rnacentral:rRNA from 1 species
UACGGAGGGAGCUAGCGUUGUUCGGAAUUACUGGGCGUAAAGCGCACGUAGGCGGCUUUGUAAGUUAGAGGUGAAAGCCUGGGGCUCAACCCCAGAAUUGCCUUUAAAACUGCAUCGCUUGAAUCCAGGAGAGGUGAGUGGAAUUCCGAGUGUAGAGGUGAAAUUCGUAGAUAUUCGGAAGAACACCCGUGGCGAAGGCGGCUCACUGGACUGGUAUUGACGCUGAGGUGCGAAAGCGUGGGGAGCAAACAGG